UACAGAGGUCUCAAGCGUUGUUCGGAUUCAUUGGGCGUAAAGGGUGCGUAGGCGGCGCGGUAAGCCGGGUGUGAAAUCUCGGAGCUUAACUCCGAAACUGCAUUCGAUACUGCCGUGCUUGAGGACUGGAGAGGAGACUGGAAUUUACGGUGUAGCGGUGAAAUGCGUAGAUAUCUGGAGGAACACCGGUGGGCGAAGGCGGCAUCCUGGACCGGCAUUGA
rnacentral:rRNA from 1 species